rnacentral:rRNA from 1 species
UACGUAGGGGGCUAGCGUUGUCCGGAUUUAUUGGGCGUAAAGCGCGUGUAGGCGGCCAAGUAGGUCCGUUGUGAAAACUCGAGGCUCAACCUCGAGCUGUCGGUGGAAACCACUUGGCUAGAGUCCGGAAGAGGAGAGCGGAAUUCCCGGUGUAGCGGUGAAAUGCGCAGAUAUCGGGAAGAACACCCGUGGCGAAGGCGGCUCUCUGGGACGGUACUGACGCUAAGACGCGAAAGCGUGGGGAGCAAACAGG